UCUCCGUUGGUGAACCAGCGGAGGGAUCAUUACCGAGUUUAUAACUCCCAAACCCAAUGUGAACCAUACCAAACUGUUGCCUCGGCGGGGUCACGCCCCGGGUGCGUCGCAGCCCCGGAACCAGGCGCCCGCCGGAGGGACCAACCAAACUCUUUCUGUAGUCCCCUCGCGGACGUUAUUUUUACAGCUCUGAGCAAAAAUUCAAAAUGAAUCAAAACUUUCAACAACGGAUCUCUUGGUUCUG
rnacentral:misc_RNA from 1 species